rnacentral:rRNA from 1 species
GAAGAAAGCUUGAGGCGUGCUUAACACAUGCAAGUCGAACGGAAAGGCCCUGCUUUUGUGGGGUGCUCGAGUGGCGAACGGGUGAGUAACACGUGAGUAACCUGCCCUUGACUUUGGGAUAACUUCAGGAAACUGGGGCUAAUACCGGAUAGGAGCUCCUGCUGCAUGGUGGGGGUUGGAAAGUUUCGGCGGUUGGGGAUGGACUCGCGGCUUAUCAGCUUGUUGGUGGGGUAGUGGCUUACCAAGGCUUUGACGGGUAGCCGGCCUGAGAGGGUGACCGGCCACAUUGGGACUGAGAUACGGCCCAGACUCCUACGGGAGGCAGCAGUGGGGAAUAUUGCACAAUGGGCGGAAGCCUGAUGCAGCAACGCCGCGUGCGGGAUGACGGCCUUCGGGUUGUAAACCGCUUUCGCCUGUGACGAAGCGUGAGUGACGGUAAUGGGUAAAGAAGCACCGGCUAACUACGUG